UCUCGGUCUCUACAGUGGAUGUAUUUUAAGACCAAUCAGAGGCGGUUGCUAGGCGGGCCAGAAUCUGUCGGCCAAUCAGCGUUUUUCUGCCGAUUAGCUGACGUAUGUCGUCAUCGGUCGCGACGUGUCCCGUAAUUGGUCAUGAUUUUGUGGGCGGGGCGUAGAGAGGCGGAGAGAGGAAGUUGGAAAACAGAUUUAAACCACUUUUGAACCGCUGCCUCUGUUUGCUUGUGCUCUGAGAAAACGUUGUUACCGGAGAGGUUUGGAUGUUAAAACAAACCCUGCAGCUGCUUUUCUGUCCUUGAUGAAGAAGUCUGGAUGCUAAAACAAACACUGGAGCUGCUUUUUGUCGAACACGAUUGAAACUGGACGCUGAAGCAUGGAACUAAGGUUUACUGGUUCAGCUGCUGCAGCCUGGACAGAAACACCAGCUCUCACCUGACAAACCAAACAGGUGUCACCACUUCGUUCACAACGUCAUCCAUGAUCACAGAAAUGUAGUCAAUGAUCAGAGAGUCUUAGGACAGUGAAGAAGUUCUUUGUAACCAGAACUGAGGCCUCCAGGUUUUCAGCUGCUGUCGUCUUCUCCUGCAGAGACAAAAAGGUGUGUCCAUACUAUGACAUUUUUGACCAUUUUCAUGCCUUAUACUGUGACAUUUUUUUGACUGUUGUAAAUAUCUUACACAUGUGGCUUAAGACCAAGGAACUAUCUUAAAGCAGCCGUCCUACCCAUGUUUUUCACAGACAUAUUCACACACAGACCUCUACACAGUGUUUGUGGUUUAGGUUAGAUUUUGUGUUUAUCAUUUUGUUAUUUUAAACAGUGCAAUAUCAAUACUCAAACCCAAUCAAGUAGUGUGUACAUAGUCCUGUUAAUACUGUUUUCAAUUUUUUUAUAUUGUUAUAUAUUAUCUUGAUUUAUGUCUUGUCUUGUUUAUAUAAUGCCUUUUCUGUUUUUGCAACACUGAAUUUCCCCGCUGUGCGGAGGAUUAUCUUACUGUUACUCAAAUAAAUACUUCUGAACACUGAA